rnacentral:rRNA from 1 species
GACAGAGGGUGCAAACGUUGUUCGGAAUUACUGGGCGUAAAGAGCGCGCAGGCGGUCGAUCAAGUCGAGUGUGAAAGCCCCGGGCUCAACCCGGGAACUGCAUCCGAAACCAUCUCGCUAGAGUAUGGGAGAGGGAAGCGGAAUUCCUGGUGUAGAGGUGAAAUUCGUAGAUAUCAGGAGGAACAUCUGCGGCGAAGGCGGCUUCCUGGCCCAUUACUGACGUUCAGGUACGAAAGACGUGGGUGAG